GGCGAACGCUGGCGGCGUGCUUAACACAUGCAAGUCGAACGGAAAGGCCCUGCUUUUGUGGGGUGCUCGAGUGGCGAACGGGUGAGUAACACGUGAGUAACCUGCCCUUGACUUUGGGAUAACUUCAGGAAACUGGGGCUAAUACCGGAUAGGAGCUCCUGCUGCAUGGUGGGGGUUGGAAAGUUUCGGCGGUUGGGGAUGGGCUCGCGGCUUAUCAGCUUGUUGGUGGGGUAGUGGCUUACCAAGGCUUUGACGGGUAGCCGGCCUGAGAGGGUGACCGGCCACAUUGGGACUGAGAUACGGCCCAGACUCCUACGGGAGGCAGCAGUGGGGAAUAUUGCACAAUGGGCGGAAGCCUGAUGCAGCAACGCCGCGUGCGGGAUGACGGCCUUCGGGUUGUAAACCGCUUUCGCCUGUGACGAAGCGUGAGUGACGGUAAUGGGUAAAGAAGCACCGGCUAACUACGUG
rnacentral:rRNA from 1 species